rnacentral:rRNA from 1 species
UAACGCGUGGGUAACCGUGCCCUGUACAGGGGGAGUAACAGCUGGAAACGGCUGCUAAUACCGCAUAAGCGCACGAGGAGACAUCUCCUGUGUGAAAAACUACCGGUGGUACAGGAUGGGCCCGCGUCUGAUUAGCUGGUUGGCAGGGUAACGGCCUACCAAGGCAACGAUCAGUAGCCGGUCUGAGAGGAUGAACGGCCACAUUGGAACUGAGACACGGUCCAAACUCCUACGGGAGGCAGCAUG